rnacentral:rRNA from 1 species
CCCUUAGAUGUCCUGGGCCGCACGCGCGUUACACUGAUGCAUUCAACGAGCUUAUAACCUUGGCCGAGAGGCCUGGGCAAUCUUGUUAACGUGCAUCGUGAUAGGGAUAGAUUAUUGAAAUUAUUAAUCUUGAACGAGGAAUUCCUAGUAAACGCAGAUCAUCAAUCUGCAUUGAUUACGUCCCUGCCCUUUGUACACACCGCCCGUCGCACCUACCGAUUGGAUGGUCCGGUGAAGCGUUCGGACCGUGGCCUUUGGACGGUUCGCCGUCUGUUGGCUGCGGGAAGUUCGUUAAACCUUAUCAUUUAGAGGAAGGAGAAGUCGUAACA